GAGACAGCAGCCGCCGCGGUAAUACAGAGGAUGCAAGCGUUAUCCGGAAUGAUUGGGCGUAAAGCGUCUGUAGGUGGCUUUUCAAGUCCGCCGUCAAAUCCCAGGGCUCAACCCUGGACAGGCGGUGGAAGCUACCAAGCUGGAGUACGGUAGGGGCAGAGGGAAUUUCCGGUGGAGCGGUGAAAUGCGUUGAGAUCGGAAAGAACACCAACGGCAAAGCACUCUGCUGGGCCGACACUGACACUGAGAGACGAAAGCUAGGGGAGCAAAUGGGAUUAGAUACCCCCGUAGUCCCUGUCUCUUAUACC
rnacentral:rRNA from 1 species